GGCGGACGCCCGCCCCUUCUCCCCCGCUCACCCCCCAGAUCUGGGGCGGGGACGAGGCGCGCUUGAAUGGCAAGCGCGGCGGUGGCAGAGCCAGCAGGCCGCCCGCGGCUUCCUGACGGCCGAUGAGUAAGGAAGAACUGAAAGGAAGAGGAACAACCUUUGCCUGUCUUUGCCUUUCCUUUUACAUCAUCAUUAGUGGUUAGCUACAGGGAAGUGAUGACUAAGAAAGGAUACUUACUGAGCUGCAGAAACCUGCUGAACAAGUGUUACAGGACAGAAGUAGAGCUUGGUGACAGAAAUGGGAGAAGUUGACUGUUGCCCACUGGGAUUGAUGUAAACAGAGGAGCUUGGCGGCUUCCAUGGUGUCCAGGGUUUUACCCCACUCACCUUGGGACGGCUUCUGCACAUCUGGAAGAGGGUGCCGCUGCAGCGCCGGUUUUACAUCUUUAAGGGACAUUCAGCUCCCUUGAGCUUUCUCCCUCCAGAGCCACAUG